CCUACGGGAGGCAGCAGUGGGGGAUAUUGCACAAUGGGGGGAACCCUGAUGCAGCGACGCCGCGUGGGUGAAGGAGCGUUUCGGCGCGUAAAGCCCUAUCGGCAGGGAAGAAGAUGACGGUACCUGACCAAGAAGCCCCGGCUAACGACGUGCCAGCAGCCGCGGGAAUACGGAGGGGGCAAGCGUUCUCCGGCUUUACGGGGUGUAAAGGGGGCGCAGACGGCACUGCAAGCCAGGAGUGAAAGCCCGGGGCCCACCCCCGGGACUGCUCUUGGAACUGCAUGGCUGGAGUACAGGAGGGGCAGGCGGAAUUCCUAGUGUAGCGGUGACAUGCGUAGAUCUUAGGAG
rnacentral:rRNA from 1 species